UACAGAGGUCUCAAGCGUUAUCCGGAUUUAUUGGGUUUAAAGGGUGCGUAGGCGGAUUAUUAAGUCAGUGGUGAAAGCCUACAGCUUAACUGUAGAAUUGCCAUUGAUACUGAUGAUCUUGAGUAUGAUUGAGGUGGGCGGAAUGUGUCAUGUAGCGGUGAAAUGCUUAGAUAUGACACAGAACACCGAUUGCGAAGGCAGCUCACUAAGUCAUAACUGACGCUGAUGCACGAAAGCGUGGGGAGCAAACAGG
rnacentral:rRNA from 1 species